GGCGUAGGCGGGAAUACAAGUCAGACGUGAAAUCCCGGAGCUUAACUCCGGAACUGCAUCUGAAACUGUAUUUCUUGAGGAUAGGUGGAGAAAACGGAAUUCCAUGUGUAGCGGUGAAAUGCGUAGAUAUGUGGAGGAACACCCGUGGCGAAAGCGGUUUUCUAGCUUAUUCCUGACGCUCAGGCCCGAAAGCUAGGGGAGCAAACAGGAUUAGAUACCCUGGUAGUCC
rnacentral:rRNA from 1 species